AUUGAAAAAAAGGCUAGAAAGGAAUUGCUCACAAAAGAGAAAAGACAAAGUGCCUCUGGUUAUCAGGGGAGGAUGCCCUCAGCAACCACAGAGGACACAGCAGCUGCAGCUGCUGAUCAUCCCUCAACUUUAGACCGCCGUACYAAUGAGUGGAUAUGUG